UAGAUUGCUCGAUUAAAAAUCAAAAUUCAUUAUUCUCAUUAAUCAUUAUAACUUUUUUCAUUCAACUUUAAUUUGUGAAACAUGAUUAUCAAUUAUAUACAGAAUGAUAUUUGAUACAGCCAUUAUGUUAAUCAAGCAUAUUCUGAUAAGGUUGACCUAUAGAAUGAUGUUGACCAGAUGUUAGACAAAUUUCAAAGAUAGUUGCUAUGGUAAUUAAGGUUAUAGGAAAUCUAAGUGUAAUGGGAUAGUCACUUUUGAGACUAUUUCCUGUCGUGUAAUUGUAAGAAAGCAGUGAUAACAAUGAAAACAAAAGAGAAAAUGGCAUCAUCUACAGAGAAAGAAACAUGGGCAGUAAAAUAAUUUUUAUGAAGAUUUGCUACAGUGGAUUAGAAUUUAACAAAAGACGGAUUCAGAAGAAGUGCCAAAAGAAAGUGUAGCAGAAAUCAAAAGGAACACUCUUGUGAAUACAACCCAUGUUAGAUUACAAAACUAUGAAAUAACUGUAUAAACCUAAUAAAGUGAAAUUACAGAACUAGGAAGUACAUGUAAGUUCAGAACAUGAUGAAGUGAAUUACAAAACUAGGAAAUAGCUGUAUGAACCUAAUGUAGUGAAAUUACAGAACUAGGAAGUACAUGUAAGUGUAUGAACAUGAUGAAGUGAAUUACAAAACUAGGAAAUCACUGUAUGAAUCUGAUGAAGUGAAUUAUAUAACUAGUAAAUAACUGUAUAAACCUGAUGAAGUGAAAUUAUAGAACUAGGAAAUAAUUGUAUGAAUCCGAUGAAGUGAAUUACAGAACUAGGAAGUAAUUGUAUGAACAUGGUGAAGUGAAAUUAUAGAACAAGGAAAUAACUGUAUGAACCUAUGUCAGAAGUGAAUUACAGAACUAGUAAAUAACUGUAUGAACCUGAUGAAGUGAAUUACAUUGACAGAAUUGAAACAUCAUAAAUAUACUUUAUAAUUUUCAUUCUAGAUCUGAUGUUGCAACGUGUAUUUACAUAAAAUUAAAGUUUUGAGAAUUUUCUCCUUGUCUAGAUUAAAUAAAUUAUGUAUUGGUA